rnacentral:lncRNA from 1 species
CAGAUUUGGAUCCGAUGACUGACUCAAUUUAUGUAGGAUAUCUACUAUUCCCAUGUCUCGUAGUUUAUCUUGGCGUUCUUGUGAGCCUUCCUCUUCAUUCCAUAUGAGAUUAGAUAUACAGAACAUGGCAGCAAGCUGAAGUUUAGCAUUUGAAUGACUCAUAUAGUACUUGAUUUUCUGAAGAAUGUCAUCAUUGGUCAUAAUCAGUUCUUUUGCUGUUGUCCCAUCUGCUAUAUUGGCAAGUAUACAUAACGUCUGCUCUUUGACUUCUAUAUUGUGCUCCCCUU